GAUGAACGCUGGCGGCGUGCCUAAUACAUGCAAGUCGAGCGAACGGACGAGAAGCUUGCUUCUCUGAUGUUAGCGGCGGACGGGUGAGUAACACGUGGAUAACCUACCUAUAAGACUGGGAUAACUUCGGGAAACCGGAGCUAAUACCGGAUAAUAUUUUGAACCGCAUGGUUCAAAAGUGAAAGACGGUCUUGCUGUCACUUAUAGAUGGAUCCGCGCUGCAUUAGCUAGUUGGUAAGGUAACGGCUUACCAAGGCAACGAUGCAUAGCCGACCUGAGAGGGUUGUUGGCCACACUGGAACUGAGACACGGUCCAGACUCCUACGGGAGGCAGCAGUAGGGAAUCUUCCGCAAUGGGCGAAAGCCUGACGGAGCAACGCCGCGUGAGUGAUGAAGGUCUUCGGAUCGUAAAACUCUGUUAUUAGGGAAGAACAUAUGUGUAAGUAACUGUGCACAUCUUGACGGUACCUAAUCAGAAAGCCACGGCUAACUACGUG
rnacentral:rRNA from 1 species